AUUCCCGACAUAUUUUGGUAUGAGGCUCUAGGAUUUGUCAAACCACACUGGAAUUCACCAUUUAUAAAGGGGCUGGAACCUUAGAAUUUUCGUUUUCAAUAAGCCAGUUUUUAAAAGGAAUUCUCCCCACCAGAAGUGCAUUUCACAAUCAGGGACGACACCUCUUUCAGAGCUCAGAGCUAAACCACUGCGUGAAAAUACGUACUUGAAAUAUGUCAGAGGGGAACAGUUUCAGACACACACACACCACAUACAUAUACACAUGCAUAAAUAUACAUAUACGCAUGUGCACAUAUAGAUGCAUGUACACAUACAUAAAUACACACAUAGAGUACACAUGUGCAUGCAUGCAUACACACAUGUGAACAUACGUGUACACAUGGAUAAACACAUGCAUAUACACACAUAGACAUACACAUGCAUAUACGCAUAUACAAUACACAUAUAUACACAUACUUACAGGUACAUAAGUGCUUAUUACUGUGAAAGUGACACAAUGUGUAGCUUAGUUAUUAAAGGUGGACACCCUUGUAACCACCACCAUGGAAGGAGCUAGAUUUGCCAAGUACCUCCGGAGCCCUCCACCUGUCUCUUCCCAAACACAACCUCUGCCCUGCUACCCACAAGAGGAGCCACUAUCCUGACAUUUAUGGUAAUCAACUGUUUGCUUUUCUUUGUCGUUUCUCACCCAAACGUUAGAGUUAGCAUUGUCUAUUCUUAUUUUUUAAUAUCCUUUAGAUCUCUUUCCUCUAUAAUUUUGUCUGUUCAUUUCCGUUUCCCUCCAUUGCUCUUUAUUUCCUGGGGAAACCAGGUCAUCUCUUGUGGACUUUGCCUCAGCCUGUGCUACCUCCCACAGUGUGCUUUCACGUCUGUGUCUCCAGCAAACUGGCUGCAGAUCCAGAGGCUUAAUCACAUACAGACCUGGUUGUUUGGGGGAAGACGUCUUUUUAGGUGGUGUCGUGUUCUUCAUCGAAAGAUCCGCACUAUCUAAUUUUCUCUUUAUUUGUGGAAAUAGCCACCGACUCUCAGUGCCUACAUCUUUAAUUCAUUAGGAGUAAAUGGUGAUAUUCUAAUUCCUUCAUUCUGUCUUCAUUUAUCUGUUGAAAUAUUUCUAUACAAAGAAAUUUCUCUUCUAUGAUUUGGUUGACUGGUGGUAUGGUUUGUAGAAAAAAGGAUAAAUGCUUGGGACUUCAUUUUAUUUACCAGUGGUCAACAAAAAGAGACAGAUCUGUAGCAUUCUUCCAGAACCAUCCUAUUAAUGUUUUCUCUCAUUAGGAACUCAUGAAUACAAACACAUUUGACCAGUUUCAAUGUAUCAUUUAGUUGUGAUUUACAAUCUCUAUUAGGAGAAUGUUUUCUGGCUACACAAUGGCCAAAACUACACCUAUACAGAUGUGAUCCCAGGAAUGUGGAGCAAAACCAAAGGGGUCUGAAGGUUUCUACCCGUCCACCUCUGAUCCUUGAAAGUCCUGUGGCCACAGGAGAGAAGGUGGCAGAUUAGAGUGAGUCCAGGUUUCAGAGUGGCAGGGGACCUGGGUUUGAAUCUUGGCUGUUACUCCCUAGCUGUGUGACCUCGUAUUUCUUCCUAAACCUCUCUGAAACUCCGUUUUCCUCAUCUGUAAAGGUGAGAGGAACAAUGUUUGCCUUAGUUGUACGUGUUGGUUGAGAAUAUGCACCAAGCACAUGGCCCAGUGUCUGGCCCAGUGUCUGACCCAGAGUAGGGAUUUGAUACAAGUUCCUUCCCUUGCCUGACCUUCCCUGCAAAGCAGUGAGAAGGCAAGCCUGAGAAAUGCCCAUCCCUUUGGAAAAAAGUUGCUCAAAGAUUUCAGCCCAGUGCACGUAGUUAUUUUUUUUUUCUUCUCUGUCUUCUUUUUUGUUUUCACCUAAAGGAACUUUUCAUUAUUGUCAUUCAGUAAGAUGUACUUUCAUUCUGUUUGUUUUCUGAGGCAAGUUAACUGGUAAUUCCUAGAAGCUUCUUAACUGUCACACAAACCAGCUUCUCCAGCUUUUGAAGAGGGUGGUCUUAACUAGAGUGCCAUGUGCCUCCCAGGAAGAAGAGAGGCACCCCUACUUUCAUCUCAUUGAAAGGAUUCCAGCUUCUAGGGAGGGCAGUUUUCUCUGGCUUUAUUUCAGAAAUGAUGUGACAGUUGUCAGCCCUGAUCUCCCCAACACAUGCAUGCACACAUCCCACCUCUCACCUUGCUCUUUUGUUUCCCCUUAAGACUCCUGUAAAAACCCAGUGUGCUGUUUUUCAUGUUCUGUGUUUCCCCAAAUUGUUCCUUUUCACUUGUGUAGCUUAGCUUAAAAAUUGCCAUUUAUUGGGAGUUCCCACUGUGGUGCAGUGGAAAUGAAUCCAACUAGUAUCCAUGAGAAUGCAGGUUCAAUAGCUGGCCUCACUCAGUGGGUUAAGGAUCCGGCAUUGCCGUGAGCUAUAGUGUAGGUUGCAGACAUGGCUCAGCUCUGGCAUUGCUGUGGCUGUAGCUGUGGCUGUGGCCAGCAGCUGCAGCUCAGAUUCAACCCUUGGCCUGGGAACUUCCAUGUGCCGUAAGCGUGGCCCUUAAAAAAAAAAAAAAAUGUUUUCAAAGAGAAAGAAAUUCUCUCUAGGAAUAGGAAAGUUGUAUGAAACCAGAUGCAGCUGAGUAGGGCCCAACUCGUGGUUUCCCCAAGCUGGAUGACUGGAUGACAUCUAUCUACCUGUAGGAAAGGAGAAUUCUGAGGCAUUCUGCUGUAGAGACAAAAAACCUCAUCAACGCUUAUGUUUGUUCGUGAGCGUAGUAGGAAGUCAUUUCAUUUGUGAAGGCCUGAUGGUGCAGUAGGGUUUAAGUGAAGCUGUGCAGAAAGUCGGGUGCAUGUUUGCCUCUGAUCCUAAGGAAGGCUAAGAACACGCUUCUACUCCCAGUUUAUAAAAUAGAAAACCUAGGCUCAGAGAGGUGAACCAGGGUCCCAGAGCUGCUCCAGCAGAACUGCCACUCAGCUGCUCCCACUCCCCACCCAGUGGUGUUUUUGUCACCCCAUUCUAGGCCUCCAGUUCUCCCAAGGAAGCACCUUCACACAUGCCUUGCUCCCCACUGAGAGGUCUCCUGGCCUCUGCACUUGAACUUCCCACUGACGCAGGCACUUGAAUCCAAUCACUUACCCUUUCAGUCAACCCAUCAUGCAGUGUAUUCAUUCAAUUCUAAGUACUUUUUCAGUACCUAGGGUUUGUCAAGCACUGUGCGCCAGUGUUGUAGCAAACAAAAUGCUCUCAAGGUGCUUAUAGUCAAAUGGAAGAAUAAUUUAGAUAUAGGUAUACACAUAUAAUAUGUUUUAUGUCUGAUGUUUCCUAUUAAAAUUGACUCAACAAUCUUCUCUCCUGAAAGGAAAUUAAUACAACUAAAGCCCCUGGGUAAGAAAGUCCAUGUAUACCCAUACAUCAUGUUGUAGUAAAGAGUAAGGAAGUCUCAAGUAACUUUCUUUUCAUAUUCAGUUACUACUGUAAUAAAGAAAGAAGAGCGCGUCCAAGCAGAGAGUUGGAGAAUAAGCACUUAACUGCUCUGAGUUGUUGGGUCAGAGCCAUUUUGUCUUUACAAUUUAACAUCACACUAAUGUGUUGUUUGGGCUGUAAAAUCAACAAUGUGCUUUACAGAACUUAAUGCAUCUCUUGGUGUGCAGACAAAGAUCUAAGAGGGUUUGUUCCUUUUUGUUGCAUCUCACUUGCCAGCCAGCUGCACGUUGCCCUCUCCUCCCUCCCACAUCCCAAACCCAUGUUCACAGAGUCUUCAAAUAAAGCAUGCUUUUGUUUUUGAAAAUGGUCUUUUCUGGACAAUUGAGUUGGCUCAUGAAAUCCACAACUUCAAGGCUUCGGGAAGUCCCGUUAAGUUUGUCAAAGAGUGUACCCCUGAAUGGUUUUAGAAUGCAGGCUUCUACAUGUUCACCCUGCCAACUCAUCCAAGGUUUUAGGAUUCAUACAAAGAGAGCCAAGUGUGAUCCUUGAAAUGGAAAAAAUAUUAAUCUAGGAUCAAAAAUAAAAGUAUAUCUAUAUAAUGCAGCACACAUAUCUCAUUUUAAAGCUAUUGUUACUAAGCUCAAAGAAGACAUUUGAGAAGAGUGUGUUGAUUUGACUUCAUUUUUUUCUAUAGACAAUUUGAAUAGGGAUAUAAGAUUAUCUUAAUGCAUCUGUAUCCUCUUACAUAACAAGAAAUCCAUUAUUUAACAUGUUUUGUGAAACCCUUGUGUGCAGCCAUUGAUUAAAUAUUGUAUUUGAACUGCCUUCGGACUCUUUCACCAUAACUCUAGCUCAACCAGUCCUUUUGACAGCUGUAUUUCCCUAACUGCAUGGUUCAGCAGACACUACUAAUAGACAAUUUUCUUCUGUUUAGCAAAACAGAAAAACUUUUCUGUGUAUAAGAAUUCAUCUGGCAAUAGAAUUAAUCUUAGCUGCUGUAUUUUUAACCAAUAUUUAGCAGUUACCAAAAUUCUCUUGAUCACUAUUGUGAGUCUUUUGAAGAAAGCACUAUAUACAAGAAAGAGAACUAACUUAUCCUGAGGUUACAAGACCCACAUUCAAAAGCUAACUCAACCAUUUAUUCCUUAUUUGAUAUUGGACAGUCAGCUCUUAAGUGGAGAUGGUCGUUCAUGGUCUUGACUAUAUAAUGGGGUCACUGAUGCAGGUCAAGUGAGAUGAAUAAAUAGCACUUGAAAAAGUGUAAAGCAAUGAAUUAUGUAAGACAUUAUUAUCUUUAGGUUUUGUUUUUUUCCACUUCUCACACACAAACACACACACACAUACAAUGCUUAACAGCUCUGCAGAUCUAUUCCUUUUUAGUUGUAAUUUAUGCUCCACUUCCAAAAAAGUGUUUUAAAGAGCCUAUAUGAUACAAGACACAGACAUAA
rnacentral:lncRNA from 1 species